UACGUAGGGUGCAAGCGUUGUCCGGAAUUAUUGGGCGUAAAGAGCUCGUAGGCGGUUUGUCGCGUCUGCUGUGAAAACUUGGGGCUCAACCCCAAGCUUGCGGUCGAUACGGGCAGGCUCGAGUUCGGUAGGGGAGACUGGAAUUCCUGGUGUAGCGGUGAAAUGCGCAGAUAUCAGGAGGAACACCGGUGGCGAAGGCGGGUCUCUGGGCCGAUACUGACGCUGAGGAGCGAAAGCGUGGGGAGCGAACAGG
rnacentral:rRNA from 1 species